GGCGAAAGCCUGACGCAGCCAUGCCGCGUGUGUGAAGAAGGCCUUCGGGUUGUAAAGCACUUUCAAUAGGGAGGAAAGCUUGUAGGUUAAUACCCUGCAAGUGUGACGUUACCUAUAGAAGAAGCACCGGCUAACUCCGUGCCAGCAGCCGCGGUAAUACGGAGGGUGCGAGCGUUAAUCGGAAUUACUGGGCGUAAAGCGCGCGUAGGCGGCUUCGUCAGUCAGAUGUGAAAGCCCCGGGCUCAACCUGGGAACUGCAUUUGAUACUGCGGAGCUAGAGUAUGGUAGAGGAUAGUGGAAUUCCAGGUGUAGCGGUGAAAUGCGUAGAUAUCUGGAGGAACAUCAGUGGCGAAGGCGACUGUCUGGACCAAUACUGACGCUGAGGUGCGAAAGCGUGGGGAGCAAAC
rnacentral:rRNA from 1 species